rnacentral:rRNA from 2 species
UCUGGUUUUGGGUUGUAGCCUGCAGAUAUUGCGCUAUCGGUGGCUCGAGCGUAAGCCUCUUGGAAUAGAGCGUAAACUUGGGUGAGAAUCCUUUGUUUCGCUCGGUGUCCGCUGUGUACGGCGCAUGUUCUCAGAGUCACGUUCCUCGGACUUGGAGCGUAAAUUAGGUGGUAGAUUUCAUCUAAAGCUAAAUAAAGGCCCAAGACCGAUAGCGAACAAGUACCAUGAGGGAAAGAUGAAAAGGACUUUGGAAAGAGAGUUAAAAGUGCUUGAAAUCGCUGGAAGGGAAGCGAAUGCAACCNCACUCUCUGCUGAGAUUGCCGCGGGCGCUUGCAAGCUCUGAGNUCAGAAGCNCAAGCUCUGUGUUUGGCUGUGCGCGGGCGCUCGUGGUGUUUNUUAGUGAAGAUAUCAGGUGUCACGUACGUUNGAACAGGGCCUUGGGCAU